rnacentral:rRNA from 1 species
GACGAACGCUGGCGGCGUGCUUAACACAUGCAAGUCGAACGGAAAGGCCCUGCUUUUGUGGGGUGCUCGAGUGGCGAACGGGUGAGUAACACGUGAGUAACCUGCCCUUGACUUUGGGAUAACUUCAGGAAACUGGGGCUAAUACCGGAUAGGAGCUCCUGCUACAUGGUGGGGGUUGGAAAGUUUCGGCGGUUGGGGAUGGACUCGCGGCUUAUCAGCUUGUUGGUGGGGUAGUGGCUUACCAAGGCUUUGACGGGUAGCCGGCCUGAGAGGGUGACCGGCCACAUUGGGACUGAGGUACGGCCCAGACUCCUACGGGAGGCAGCAGUGGGGAAUAUUGCACAAUGGGCGGAAGCCUGAUGCAGCAACGCCGCGUGCGGGAUGACGGCCUUCGGGUUGUAAACCGCUUUCGCCUGUGACGAAGCGUGAGUGACGGUAAUGGGUAAAGAAGCACCGGCUAACUACGUG